rnacentral:rRNA from 1 species
CAGCCGCCGCGGUAAUACGAAGGGUGCAAGCGUUAAUCGGAGUUACUGGGCGUAAAGCGUGCGUAGGCGGUGAGUUAAGUCUGCUGUGAAAUCCCCGGGCUCAACCUGGGAAUGGCAGUGGAUACUGGCUCGCUAGAGUGUGUCAGAGGAUGGUGGAAUUCCCGGUGUAGCGGUGAAAUGCGUAGAGAUCGGGAGGAACAUCAGUGGCGAAGGCGGCCAUCUGGGACAACACUGACGCUGAGGCACGAAAGCGUGGGGAGCAAACAGGAUUAGAUACCCCUGUAGUCCCUGUCUCUUAUAC